GGGAUUAUAGAUCAAUUGGUAGAUCAUUUGCUUUGCAUGCGAACGAUAUCGGUUCAAGUCCGAUUAAUUCCA
rnacentral:tRNA from 1 species